UACGAGGGGGGCAAGCGUUGUUCGGAAUUAUUGGGCGUAAAGGGCGCGUAGGCGGUGCGGUAAGUCACCUGUGAAACCUCUAGGCUUAACCUAGAGCCUGCAGGCGAAACUGCCGUGCUUGAGGGUGGGAGAGGUGCGUGGAAUUCCCGGUGUAGCGGUGAAAUGCGUAGAGAUGCGGAGGAACACCGAUGGCGAAGGCAGCCCCCUGGGCUAACACUGACGCUCAGGCACGAAAGCGUGGGGAGCAAACAGG
rnacentral:rRNA from 1 species